rnacentral:tRNA from 1 species
GGGGCUGUAGCUCAGUGGCAGAGCACUUGCCUAUCAUGUGUGAUGCACUGGGUUGAAUCCUCAGCACCA